UACGUAGGUGGCAAGCGUUAUCCGGAUUUACUGGGUGUAAAGGGCGUGUAGGCGGGACUGCAAGUCAGAUGUGAAAACCACGGGCUCAACCUGUGGCCUGCAUUUGAAACUGUAGUUCUUGAGUACUGGAGAGGCAGACGGAAUUCCUAGUGUAGCGGUGAAAUGCGUAGAUAUUAGGAGGAACACCAGUGGCGAAGGCGGCUUGCUGGACGAAAACUGGCGUUGAGGCUCGAAAGCGUGGGGAGCAAACAGG
rnacentral:rRNA from 1 species